rnacentral:rRNA from 1 species
AUUGAACGCUGGCGGCAGGCCUAACACAUGCAAGUCGAGCGGAUGAAGGGAGCUUGCUCCUGGAUUCAGCGGCGGACGGGUGUGUAAUGCCUAGGAAUCUGCCUGGUAGUGGGGGAUAACGUCCGGAAACGGGCGCUAGUACCGCAUACGUCCUGCGGGAGAAAGUGGGGGAUCGUCGGACCUCACGCUAUCAUAUGAGCCUAGGUCGGAUUAGCUAGUUGGUGGGGUGAAGGCCUACCAAGCCGACGAUUCGUAGCUGGUCUGAGAGGAUGAUCAGUCACACUGGAAGUGAGACACGGUCCAGACUCCUACGGUAGGCAGCAGUGGGGAAUAGUGGACAAAGGGCGAAAGCCUGAUCCAGCCAGGCCGCGUGUGUGACGAAGGUCUUCCGAUUGUAAAGCACUCUAAGUUGGGAGGAAGCGCAGUAAGUUAUUACCUUGCGGUUUUGACGUUAACAACAGAAUAAGCACCGGCUAACUUCGUG